rnacentral:rRNA from 1 species
UGAACGCUGGCGGCGUGCCUAAUACAUGCAAGUCGAACGCAUUGUGGUUGAAAUGAUAUGAAGAACUUGUUCAGAUUUGAUUUUCAACAUUGCAAUGAGUGGCGAACGGGUGAGUAACACGUGGGAAACCUACCUCUUAGCAGGGGAUAACAUUUGGAAACAAAUGCUAAUACCGUAUAAUAAUUAAAACCGCAUGGUUUUAGUUUAAAAGAUGGUCUUGCUAUCACUAAGAGAUGGUCCCGCGGUGUAUUAGUUAGUUGGUGAGGUAAUGGCUCACCAAGACAAUGAUACAUAGCCGAGUUGAGAGACUGACCGGCCACAAUGGGACUGAGACACGGCCCAUACUCCUACGGGAGGCAGCAGUAGGGAAUCUUCCACAAUGGACGAAAGUCUGAUGGAGCAACGCCGCGUGUGUGAUGAAGGGUUUCGGCUCGUAAAACACUGUUGUAAGAGAAGAAUGACAUUGAGAGUAACUGUUCAAUGUGUGACGGUAUCUUACCAGAAAGCCACGGCUAACUACGUGCCAGCAGCCGCGGUAAUACGUAGGUGGCAAGCGUUGUCCGGAUUUAUUGGGCGUAAAGCGAGCGCAGGCGGUUUCUUAAGUCUGAUGUGAAAGCCUUCGGCUCAACCGAAGAAGUGCAUCGGAAACUGGGAAACUUGAGUGCAGAUGAGGACAGUGGAACUCCAUGUGUAGCGGUGAAAUGCGUAGAUAUAUGGAAGAACACCAGUGGCGAAAGCGGCUGUCUGGUCUGUAACUGACG